UCCCUGAAGGACUAGUGGUUAGGCCUCAUCUUUCUCACCGCCUCGGCCCUGGAUUGAUUCCCGGCCAGGGAA